rnacentral:misc_RNA from 1 species
UCCGGUUUAACACCGGCAGUCUCCUUAGAGUGCUCAACUUAAUGGUGGCAACUAAGGACAAGGGUUGCGCUCGUUAAGGGACUUAACCCGACAUCUCACGAUACGAGCUGACGACAGCCAUGCAGCACCUAAACCGCCGGCCCCCGAAGGGGAAACUCCAUCUCUGAAGCUGUCCGACGUUAUCUAACCCAGGUAAGGUUUUUCGCGUAGCAUCGAAUUGAACCACAUGCUCCACCGCUUGUGCGGGCCCCCGUCAAUUCCUUUGAGUUUUAACCUUGCGGCCGUACUUCCCAGGCGGGGUACUUAAUGCGUUAGCUGCGACACUGUGGGGGUCAAUUCCCACAACAUCUAGUACCCAUCGUUUACAGCGUGGACUAC